UGGGCAGGGGGUGGCACCCGGGCUGGGCCCAGGGCCUGAUGCCACCUCCCACCCUAG
rnacentral:pre_miRNA from 1 species